GUCACAGAAACACAGAGAGAGAGAGAGCGAGAAUAUGUGUCGCUUUUGUGUGUGAGUGAGGGAGGGAGUGAGAGAGGAAGGAGGGCAGCACACCCAGCGCUGUGAAGGUGGAGGUGGCGCUGCUGCGUGGCUGUAACACCGCCUUGGCGUUGACGGCAGCACUUGACGCAAUGGUGGAGCCACGCUGCGCCCUCGUUUAUGAAAGUCGCGCAGCCUUCGGGGUCUUGGCCUGUGUAGGAAGGCACUUACACCGACACAAGAUGCCUGAGAGCACACCGGAUACCAAGGUCGGAUUCAUUUCUUGAGUGUUUGAAAGAGUGGUACCAGCUUUCUCUUUCAUUUCUUUUUUUUUUUCUUUCAUGCAGGGGGAGCAAAGAGACCUUUGCGUGCCUGGCUAAUCCAACAAUGGGUGAGUAAGGCGGAACAGAGCAAAGGUACUGACUAUCAGACCGUGACGGCCUCCACAACACACAUACAUACACUCUUCAAUAGACACGUACAUACACACAUUAACAUCCACCCACACACACUCACCCGCGCGAGCAUACACACCCAAAGGUCGUGUCGAGCGGUCGGGUGCUCACCAUGAAGCGACUGCAGCUACGAGUGUACAAGCUCUUGAUAAUCGUCUCCGCUGCGGUUGUAACUUUUUCGCUGGUGUUGCUGCACACGGUCAGCUAUCAAGAAAGUGGGUUAUUCAGCAAGAUCCUGGAGCCCACAUUGCCCUUAUUCCAGAUUGAAAAGUUUCCAGGAGCCCCAGCUUUUGUGAAGGGCUUGCGGCCGAAGUCUGAUGGUGCGACUGAGAGAUCAUCGAGAUUCUCGGACUACCGGUGGCAGCCUGUUGGGGACUCACUCGACACCUACGUGUACUCUGCGUACCUGGACGACCUUCGGUCGCCGCCUGUGUUGCGAGUCAUCGCCAUCAUUGUUGACCAUCUGACAGACCAUAAUCUCACCUGUCUGUACUAUGCCAAAUUUCCGUCCGGAGGCAACGAGCAACCUUAUAUGAGUCGUCGAAUAGAGCAGCUUCAGUAUAUUCCGGAACCAGACUGGAAGUAUAAGUAUCGAGGGGCCUUUCUCCACUGUCCAGUGUCGCUGGACGCAGCACCGCCGCAAGCCGUGUCCAUUGUAGUCGAGGGUUCAUCGCGUGCUCCGCUCAACUUGCUGCCCGUCGGAUGGACCAGGAGCGGCAACCCGCUGCGUUACGGCAUCACGCGCUGCAUCCCGGCACUGCACUCCAACUUCUCCCAUGUCACCUCGCUGCUAGAAAUGUUCGCCUUCAGCCAGAAGUUUGGGGUCAACCACUUCAUAUUGUACGUUCUGAAUGCCAGUGAGAGCGUGUCGCGCGCCCUCGACCUGUAUCGCAGGCGGGGACUCGUGGAGGUGUACGAGUGGAACCUCCCUGUCAACACCUCACAUAUACACUACUACGGACAGCUGGCCAAUAUGCAGGACUGUCUGUAUCGCAGCCUUCACGUGUCCAGGUACGUACUCAUCGGCGACGUUGACGAGUUGUUUGUGCCGCACCAGGGGCGACAGCUGCUGCCGAUGCUGUGGCGACACCUGCACAGCUCGCUGGAGUGUGGGGCGCUGCAGUUCAUCAACGUCUUCUUCCCCUGCAGUUGCCGGACACGGACAUGGACUUCCCUGGCAGGGACUUCGCCCUAAGGUACAACUUAUCGACGCUGCUGAAGACGACGGCGAUGACCGACCCCACAGUGGACCGCCAGAAGAUGGCGCUGGAUCCCACACGCGUGGAGACUACAUAUAUUCAUGAUGCUUCAAAGUUCCGGCCCGGCUUUAUGAAAUGCAUGGUCAACAUUUCGGAUGUUGCGCUCCAUCACUACCGAACUCUGACACAUCCUGGAGAUUUGAAUAAAAUGAGGGAGGGCAUCGGAGUUCAUCUGGAUUCUUAUCUCCAUCAGUUCGCCCCUGAUGUCAUCAAGCAUAUACAAUCGGAUUUACAAGCACUUGACAGUGUUUAGAGUGAUGCACCUUGGAUCAGUGUCGCAGGCUUACCUGUGGGAGGGUUGAGGACUGGUGACAAAAGUGAUUGUGAUGGGGCUGGUAGCAGUGAUGGUGAUGGUGAUGGUGCUGGUAGCGGUGAUGGUGGUGGUGUAUGCGAGAUUGCGAGUGAAAAAUGGAAAAUGUUCUUUGAGGCUGAUUUAUUUUUUUUUUUUUUUCAAAAUCACCAGCUUCAUCUCAGACCACGAGACGCCAACUACUCCUGUGGAUAUAAAGGUGCUUCCUGUUUUUUUCUAAUUUUUAUUUACUUACUUUUCAUCUGCACCAAGCUCACUAAUCUAUGCAAUAGACAGCCUCGAUAGACGUGGUGUUGUUAUGAAUUAAAAACGAAUAAAGACCGCAGUUGUUGAGCUUUUUGGAGCGUUCAGGCUCCUUCAACUCAGUUUCAGCUCUCACGCAUCUCGCAAACAUGCCUCGUGCCUUAGCUACAGUGCUUGUUGGAAUUCCUGUCGGUUGUAAUCAGAGUUGUGACACCAAUGACCUCAGCAUCCUGCAUCAAGUGAUGCUGGCCAUGAGCACAUAACAAGCUGGGGAAAUUACUCAUACACACAGUUCACAGGUUAUCGGGUUUUCUCCAGCUUGUAAACGAGUUACAAUUGGACAAGAAUCUGGCUGGACUUCACGACUUCUGUGCUUCCUUGCCGCAACUAAACAGGCUCUUAAUUUUCCCCUGGAGAGCUUGAGGGCAUUACACAGGUCGUACUUUUUAUUGCAGUCUGUUUCAUUUGGAAUUUUUUUUUUAUUUUUUUGCUUAAUUUGCAAAGCUGUUGUUGACUACUGCAUGUAAAGCAUGACCGAAACCCAGUUCAAUUUGAGGUGCUAACUUGCAUCAUUAUAAGAGGACAUUACUUUUCGAAGACACAAACCUGCUGCCUGACUUCUGUAAUGUCAACUACCCUCCCUGUUUUAAGACUGGGAGCGUUUAUGUGACACUUGGGGCCACGUCUAACUUAACCCUAAAUAAGUUCCCUGAGUUGAAAAGGUGCAUCAGUUUGUGUCUGUGAGAUCUGAAAGGAUAAUUGAAUUGCAAUGAGUGGUUUUCAGUCUUUGUUUAGCCGAUGUACCAACACUCCCACUUAUGAGGGAUGCUAGAUAGUUUGGCUAUGAUUGUUCAGCACUGUUCAAAUAAACACCCGCUGUCCUCCCCACACACCAAUCCAUCACCAUCACCCGUUAUCUCGCCAAUCCGCCUGCUGUUACAUACCGUGGCCCAAUAUAUUAUUAUAUAUUAACAUUUCCCCCAUGUUUAUCUCCAAUGAAUUUAUUAUCCUAUUGUCUUAUCACCUCCGCCACUCUAUACUGGGGUAGAUGAAAGGCAAACAGGACGAGUGCUAGAGGGUAUGUUCCCCUCCGCACCCCACACCCCACAUGACAUGCUCUUCCUCCUUCCCAUCAAUGAUAGCUUAUUCAACAAUUACUUUAAAAGUUCUGGUCGUCAAAUGCAGGUUUAAAAUCUCAUCUUAUUUAUUUAUUGUCGUGCUAAGAGAGUUAUUUUUUUCAAUCCAGGGAAGUUGCCAUGUCAUGCUCAAUGGACAUGGUGGCAAGCCCAGUUAAUUUCUAUGUAGCAUUGUUGACCUCAGAUUUUAUUUAAUUAAUUUUCACUUUGGGAAACUUAUUUUCUCCUUGGGUUAAAGAAACGGACAGGGUAAGUAAAAUUCUUAAUGACUCACUGCAUAUUUGACACAGUAUUAAUUUAUAUUGGACAACGAAGAUUAGAGUCACAGAGACGGUAUUUGAUGGCAUAUUGAGCAAUAAAGCUUUUUUUAAAUAAUUUAAGAAAAUAUUUUAAAAUAUUUUAUUUCACUUACAGCAAUAGGAAUGUGAGUUUGAGCGGAGCGAUAUAUUUCUGUUAUCUUUCUGAUGACUUACUGACGCUGAGUUUAAAAGUUUGAAAUUAACAGACUUUCAGGAAUCGUGUAGGCAAAAUUCCUAGCAUCAUUCAUUGUUUUGAAAAACAAAUGCAGACGAUCUAUCCCACCCCCUCCUCACUCAAUGUUAGGCCACUAGGCAUUUGUCUAGUUUUCUUAAUGGUAGCAUCAGACAUGGAGACAACGAAUUAGAGAAAUUUUGCUUUUAAAAAAGCAGUCGUUAUGCAGAUAUUUAUAAUGAUUAAUUUCGAAAUAAUAAGGAAUUUCAGGCAGAAUACUUCUACUGUUGUCAUUUCUUUCUUUUUUUCAUUUUAAAUUAUAAGAACUGAGCUAGAUUUCUGUCUGUUACAUAAUUUAUAAAUUAUUUGUCUCUAGCAUUUGCUUUAUUCAAUUAUUCCGACACCACAACGUAUGUCAAAAUGAUGCUUCAUUCUUCCAGCCAUCAGAUUAUAAUGUAGUUUUCUAUAUUUUAAUAAUAGAUAAACAUCACCUGUGUGUUUGUGUGUGUGUGCGUGCGUGCAGAUGCAGAAUAUGUGCAUGACUAUAUAUUAAUUUUACUUUAAUAUACUAUAGUGUUGUUAUGAACUUUUCAUACAAAAUAUUUUAUCAUCGGUGACCAUACUAGUCAUAUUUUUUGCCAAAAUUCAGUUUGUCGUGCAGCAAGACUGUCCUAGACUGUGUUGCGCUAUUUUACAUAUCUGCAGAGUUUUGUAUUUUACUGGUUCAUAUUGUUUCCCAGUAUGACUAACACUGCUAUGCAAAUGAUUGAAGUAAUAUUUUGUGGGUAAAAAAAUGUCACUGUCACUUGUCAUUGUCACUUGUUUUUUGUGAACAAAUAGACAUCGCAAUAAAAUUUCUCACAGUCCUAUUGCGCUCAGGUGUUGUAGACAAAUUACCGUCACUGGAUAAAGAGACAGUAAAUUUUUUUUCUAAAGC